GGAUGUGAUUAUUUCUCUAAUCUGAAAGUACAGUAUAUUUGAAUCCAAAAUCAAUAUUUAUUUCCCAUGUGAUUGGUUAUUGAUAAAAUUGCCUACACUAACUAGAGUUACCAGAGGGCCAGUUACAGGUCACAUAAAUAUACCUGCUGAGAUGCUGCACAUCCUGGCCCAUGUGGUUGAAGAACCCAUCCUAUAGGUAGUCCUCUCCUCACAUGCCAUUGGCCUGCAAAUGGCUGAGUCAACUGAUGUUGCGAUGACCAAGCAACUGGACAUCCACCUCCAUGUUUCUAUUAAUAAUGAAUAAUUACAAUCAGACAUUGUGUAAGGAUGGCAUGAUUAUUCUGAUGGAAUUUGUUUUAGGUACCCUGGCAAAGAAGGGUGGCUUUUUAACCAGCUUUUGAACAUCAUUGUUGAAGCUGUGUGAGAAGUGAUGGAAACAAAAGGCAACCAUGUGUUCGGUUUGGGAACUGACGGAAUUUCAGUGAUGAUGGGUAGUCUUCAACCCAUUCAUUUGAAAAAAUAUGUUUUAAGUUUUAAAUAGAAUAUUAGAGAAAAAUGAAAAAUUCAUUGUAAGUAAUAUGUUAUUUAAAUCAUUAAGAGGGCAACAUAAUUUAAAGUAUUUAGAACGGGUUGGUGGAUUGGAGUUGCCAAGCAGCUGACCAACACAUGGCUUUGGCUAGUGUCUUGCAUUUGUAAACUGUGCUAUAUACAGCUAUUCACAGCAAUGCUCCAGGCAGUUGCUACUUCGAUUGUAGUGGACCACCUCAAAGUGACUGUAAGUCUACCUAUUUAAGGAAAAACACUUGUAAGAGCUCAACUUUAUUGCCUUGCUAUUUUUCAUUAGGAGGUGAAGGACACAAGAUUGCUUUCACAAAACCAAACAUCUCAAGCACAUCUGGCAGCACACGUAGAGGAGGCGGCCAUCAAGAAAGAUCCUGUGGCGUGGGGCCUGUACACAUUCUGUGCUACAUACAGAUUUGUUGCUGUGUUCCACCUCAAAGCAGCUAUUGUUUUCCGUCUCAGUCGCUUGUCCAAACUGUUUCAAAGAGAGGACGUCAACUUCUUGAUGAUCAAACAACAUUGCUCUUGAAUGGGUUUCUGAAGGAAUUUGCUAGACUUAAAAUUAACCUGCUCUGUUUUAAUAUAUUUUAUGUCCCUGUUACCAUUGAGACCAGAGGCAGGAGACCAGUAACCUCACACUUCUGUGAGGUCAACCAGAUGGUCAACAGCCUAAACAUCCAGGCGGAGGAGGAAAGGGGGAAGAGACAGAAUGUGAGAGAAGAGGACCCAGGCACAUUAUGGACAUGGUUCCAAAAUGAGGACAAGUCUCAGCUGGUGGUCAUGAAGCAGAUGAUCUCUGAGCAUGAUAACAACUCUGCCCCAACUUAAACCAGCUCUUACAGUUCCAGUAUCCAGCAUCAACUGUGAGAGGCACUUAUCUGCAAUGAACAGGAUUGACGGCACCCAUACGGCAAGACUGCACCUCCUUGUUUUAUUUUAGCCUUGUCUUUCUGAAAAAUAAUUGUCAAAUAAUUAACAAAUGUUACAUUUACUAUUUUAACAAUUGAACAAAUGUAAGCAGG